AUGGAGAUUUCAGAUAUAUUAGGGAUAUAUCGGGGAAACCCGGGAAAAAAAUAUCGCAAUAUAGAUAUCUCCUACAAUAACUUCUCUCAGAGCUCUGUCCCAACUGUUUGUCGAGGAACUUUGUAUUCAUUGCAUAUAAAUUGUGGUGGGAAACAAACCACCAUUGGAGGCAUCAAGUAUGAAGAAGAUGAAGCCUCAGGAGGUGCAGCAACGUUUGUUCAAGCCACACCCCAAAAUUGGGGGUUCAGUAGCACCGGUGAAUUCGUAGAUCCUGAGGGUUCUGACAACGUCUAUAUUGCAAAUAAUGUUUCCAUACUCAAAUGGAAAUUACACAACCGCACGACUUUCUCCUCUGUCGCUCACCUACUAUGCCCAUUGCUUAGCAAAUGGAAAUUACACUGUGAAACUACACUUCGCAGAAAUAGUUCUCAGAGACAACAGGUCUUAUUAUGGUGUUGGAAGACGAAUGUUUGAUGUUUAUAUCCAGGACAAAUUGGUAUUGAAGGAUUUUGAUAUUAGAAAGGAAGCAAUGGGGGUUAACAAGGAAGUGAUCAAGGUAUUUAAUGCUGUUGUUAAUGUUAAGACUCUGCUGAUCCGCUUUCAGUGGGCUGGGAGAGGAACAACUAAUGUUCCGCGAAGAGGAAUAUAUGGUUCUCUUAUAUCAGCCAUUUCAGUGCAGUCUGCUUGUUAACCUGUUAAGUAAUUCCUACCUUGUUACAUCACAGAACUGAGAGGAUUGGAUCUGCAAACUGGUUAUUUUAAAUUCAAACAAAUUAAAGCUGCCACUAAUAACUUUGAUCCUGCAAACAAGCUUGGGGAAGGUGGCUUCGGAGCUGUUUACAAGGGAGAAUUAUUGGAUGGUAGUUUUAUUGCCGUUAAGCAACUUUCUUCAAAAUCGAAGCAGGGAAAUCAUGAAUUCAUAAAUGAAAUAGGCAUGAUGUCUGCAUUACAACACCCAAAUCUUGUUAAACUGUAUGGAUGUUGCACGGAAGGAAAUCAAUUAUUGUUGGUAUACGAAUACAUGGAGAACAAUAGCCUUUCACGUACUUUAUUUGGUUCAGAGGAAGGGCUAAGGAAAUUGAACUGGCCAACAAGGCAGAAAAUAUGUGUUGGUAUUGCAAGGGGUCUUGCUUUCCUGCACGAUGGAACCUUGAAAAUUGUUCAUAGAGAUAUCAAAACAACCAACAUAUUGCUGGAUAGGGACCUUAAUGCUAAGAUAGCUGACUUUGGUUUGGCUAAGCUGGACGAAGAGCAUACUCAUAUCAGCACCAGAGUUGCUGGAACUAUAGGAUACAUGGCGUCUGAGUAUGCAUUAUGGGGAUAUUUAACCGAUAAGGCAGAUGUCUACAGUUUUGGGGUUGUAGCAUUGGAACUGGUAUCAGGGAAAAACAACAUCAAAUAUCGGCCGAACGAAAAUUUUGUAUGCCUUCUAGAUUGGGCCCUUGUUUUACAACAGAAAGGCAAUCUAAUGGAGCUGGUGGAUCCAAAGUUAGGUUCUGGGUUCAACAAGGAAGAGGCACUUAGAAUGAUAAAGGUGGCUCUACUAUGCGCCAAUUCAUCACCGGCACUAAGACCAACAAUGUCUCAAGUGGUGAGCAUGCUUGAAGGCCGAACUGAUGUUCAUGAAGUGACCAUAAAUCCAAGUAUUUAUGGUGAUGAAAUGAGGUUUAAGGCCUUCACAGAGGACUCUGAUCCGGAUAUGCAAGAGAGCUUUGAGGAGACUCGAAGCUUCAUUCGCUCGGAUUCAAAAUGGACAGCCUCUUCCUCAUUGAAUAUUGAUAACAGUGAGACUCGAUAA